rnacentral:rRNA from 1 species
CCCUUAGAUGUUCUGGGCCGCACGCGUGCUACACUGUCGGAUUCAGCGAGUCAUAUCCUUAACCGAAAGGUUUGGGUAAUCUUUUGAAAGUCCGACGUGAUGGGGAUUGAUCAUUGCAAUUAUUGAUCAUGAACGAGGAAUUCCUAGUAAGCGCGAGUCAUCAGCUCGCGUUGAUUACGUCCCUGCCCUUUGUACACACCGCCCGUCGCUACUACCGAUUGAAUGGUUUAGUGAGAUCUUCGGAUUGGCGCCUACGCGGCUUCUCUGAGGCCACGCUGGAUGCCGAAAAGUUGCUCAAACUGUAUCAUUUAGAGGAAGUAAAAGUCGUAACA